UACGGAGGGUGCAAACGUUGCUCGGAAUCAUUGGGCGUAAAGCGCACGUAGGCGGACCGCUAAGUCGGAUGUGAAAGCCCUCGGCUUAACCGAGGAAGUGCAUUCGAAACUGACGGUCUUGAGUAUGGAAGAGGGUCGCGGAAUUCCCGGUGUAGAGGUGAAAUUCGUAGAUAUCGGGAGGAACACCAGUGGCGAAGGCGGCGACCUGGGCCAAUACUGACGCUGAGGUGCGAAAGCAUGGGGAGCGAACAGG
rnacentral:rRNA from 1 species